rnacentral:pre_miRNA from 1 species
GUAUUUGCAGGUGGAGCAUCAUCAAGAUUCACAUAGCUUUAUUCUCGGCCUUUCUUUAAUGGUGGUGGUCGCUCUGAGAAAGCUGAGAUAUGAGAAUCUUGAUGAUGCUGCAGUUGCAAUCAA